CCAGACGGGCUUUGCAUGCUUGAAGCACGCACGAAAGCUCAAUUUGAAAUCUGGCGUCUUUGGCGUCCCAUUAAAAAUUUGAAGAAGGUAUCUUUGGGCCCGGCUCUUGUCUAUGUUCCUUGGAACAGGACGUCACAGAGGGUGAGAAUCCCGUGCGAUGAGAUGACCCGGAUCUGUGUAAAGUUCCUUCGACGAGUCGAGUUGUUUGGAAAUGCAGCUCUAAGU
rnacentral:rRNA from 1 species